GAUCUGGCUCAAUUGGUAAGAGGUUGGCGCUAUCAAUGCCACGGUUGUAGGUUCGAUUCCCACAUAGAUCC
rnacentral:tRNA from 1 species